rnacentral:rRNA from 1 species
GAUGAACGCUGGCGGCGUGCUUAACACAUGCAAGUCGAGCGAGUGAGUUCUUCGGAACGAUCUAGCGGCGGACGGGUGAGUAACACGUGGCAACCUGCCUCAUAGAGGGGGAUAGCCUCCUGAAAGGGAGAUUAAUACCGCAUAAAAUUAUCGAGUGGCAUCACAUGAUAAUCAAAGGAGUAAUCCGCUAUGAGAUGGGCCCGCGGCGCAUUAGCUAGUUGGUGAGGUAACGGCUCACCAAGGCGACGAUGCGUAGCCGACCUGAGAGGGUGAUCGGCCACAUUGGGACUGAGACACGGCCCAGACUCCUACGGGAGGCAGCAGUGGGGAAUAUUGCACAAUGGGGGAAACCCUGAUGCAGCAACGCCGCGUGAGUGAUGAAGGUCUUCGGAUUGUAAAGCUCUGUCUUUGGGGACGAUAAUGACGGUACCCAAGGAGGAAGCCACGGCUAACUACGUGCCAGCCGCCGCAGUAA